CCUCCUUGACUCUGGAGCCUCCCUUGACUCUUGCAACAAGUCUGGUUGGACAAGUCUUAAUGCUCUAUCCCUUUGAUGUCUGUGAUACUCCACUGUCCCCUUUUCACAGAAAGUGGUCUCUCUGACCACUCUUCCCCUGGGGUUGCUCCUCCCUCCUAGCCUGGAUAUGGGCAGAGAAUCCCAUGGCCUCAGCAGUAAUCCUUAGGUAGAAGACCCCUCUACUUUAGCUCAAGCCCUGCCCUCUCUUCUUUGCCCUAAACUGUAUGUCUACAUUCAUGCCCCUUCACCAGCCCCUCCUCAAACCCAACAGUGCAGAUGAACGGGGGCCUCCCCACCCCGACAGUCCUUCCUUGACUGCCCAUCUUCACCCUGCCUGACCUAGAAACCUUCCACUCACCAUCACUCCUUUCUCUACCCUGACCCCCAGCUCCAAGUUCCUCCUGUAGGUCCUACACCUGCCAUGCUUCUCAGUGUAUCCCAUUCUCUCUGUUCUUAUACUGCCAUAAUCUUAUCUCUGGCAGCACAGCCAUAAUCUCCCAGCAUCCAGACAUCUUCCCCCUCAACUCAUUCUGCAACCUCUUCUCAGAGUUGUCUUCCUAAAGCCUGGAUAUGAUCUCGCAUCUCUAUGGCUCAGUAACCAUUGAUGGCACCAUGUUGGUUAUCAAAGUCAUUCCAAAUUCCUGAGCCUGGCAUUGCAGAUGCUUACAUGUUCUCAUCCCAUUCUUCUUAGUAACAACAGCUUGCAGGAAGUGUCAGGGAGUGCCUUCCUCC
rnacentral:lncRNA from 1 species